UGCAGUCGAGCGGAACGAGUUAUCUGAACCUUCGGGGAACGAUAACGGCGUCGAGCGGCGGACGGGUGAGUAAUGCCUAGGAAAUUGCCCUGAUGUGGGGGAUAACCAUUGGAAACGAUGGCUAAUACCGCAUGAUGCCUACGGGCCAAAGAGGGGGACCUUCGGGCCUCUCGCGUCAGGAUAUGCCUAGGUGGGAUUAGCUAGUUGGUGAGGUAAGGGCUCACCAAGGCGACGAUCCCUAGCUGGUCUGAGAGGAUGAUCAGCCACACUGGAACUGAGACACGGUCCAGACUCCUACGGGAGGCAGCAGUGGGGAAUAUUGCACAAUGGGCGCAAGCCUGAUGCAGCCAUGCCGCGUGUGUGAAGAAGGCCUUCGGGUUGUAAAGCACUUUCAGUCGUGAGGAAGGUAGUGUAGUUAAUAGCUGCAUUAUUUGACGUUAGCGACAGAAGAAGCACCGGCUAACUCCGUGCCAGCAGCCGCGGUAAUACGGAGGGUGCGAGCGUUAAUCGGAAUUACUGGGCGUAAAGCGCAUGCAGGUGGUUUGUUAAGUCAGAUGUGAAAGCCCGGGGCUCAACCUCGGAAUAGCAUUUGAAACUGGCAGACUAGAGUACUGUAGAGGGGGGUAGAAUUUCAGGUGUAGCGGUGAAAUGCGUAGAGAUCUGAAGGAAUACCGGUGGCGAAGGCGGCCCCCUGGACAGAUACUGACACUCAGAUGCGAAAGCGUGGGGAGCAAACAGGAUUAGAUACCCUGGUAGUCCACGCCGUAAACGAUGUCUACUUGGAGGUUGUGGCCUUGAGCCGUGGCUUUCGGAGCUAACGCGUUAAGUAGACCGCCUGGGGAGUACGGUCGCAAGAUUAAAACUCAAAUGAAUUGACGGGGGCCCGCACAAGCGGUGGAGCAUGUGGUUUAAUUCGAUGCAACGCGAAGAACCUUACCUACUCUUGACAUCCAGAGAACUUUCC
rnacentral:rRNA from 1 species